rnacentral:rRNA from 1 species
AGGCGGCAUGCUUUACACAUGCAAUGUCGGACGGCAGCACAGAGAAGCUUGCUUCUUGGGGUGGCGAGUGGCGAACGGGUGAGUAAUAUAUCGGAACGUACCGAGUAAUGGGGGAUAACCAAUCGAAAGAUUGGCUAAUACCGCAUACGUCCUAAGGGAGAAAGCGGGGGAUCGCAAGACCUCGCGUUAUUCGAGCGGCCGAUAACUGAUUAGCUAGUUGGUGGGGUAAAGGCCUACCAAGGCGACGAUCAGUAGCGGGUCUGAGAGGACGAUCCGCCACACUGGGACUGAGACACGGCCCACACUCCUACGGGAGGCAGCAGUGGGGAAUUUUGGACAAUGGGGGCAACCCUGAUCCAGCCAUGCCGCGUGUAUGAAGAAGGCCUUCGGGUUGUAAAGUACUUUUGUUAGGGAAGAAAAGGGAAGUGCUAAUACCACUUUUUGCUGACGGUACCUAAAGAAUAAGCACCGGCUAACUACGUGCCAGCAGCCGCGGUAAUACGUAGGGUGCGAGCGNUAAUCGGAAUUACUGCGCG